CAGUCGCCGCGGUAAUACGAAGGGGGCUAGCGUUGUUCGGAUUUACUGGGCGUAAAGCGCACGUAGGCGGAUUCUUAAGUCAGAGGUGAAAUCCCAAGGCUCAACCUUGGAACUGCCUUUGAUACUGGGGAUCUUGAGUUCGGGAGAGGUGAGUGGAACUGCGAGUGUAGAGGUGAAAUUCGUAGAUAUUCGGAAGAACACCAGUGGCGAAGGCGGCUCACUGGCUCAUUCUAGACGCUGAGGUGCGAAAGCGUGGGGAGCAAACAGGAUUAGAUACCCGCGUAGUCCCUGUCUCUUAUAC
rnacentral:rRNA from 1 species